CACUCCUACGGGAGGCAGCAGUGGGGAAUUUUACGCAAUGGGGGAAACCCUGACGUAGCGACACCGCGUGAGCGAAGAAGCCCUUUGGGGUGUAAAGCUCUGUCAGCUGGAACGAAAACAAUGACGGUACCAGCAGAGGAAGCAUCGGCUAACUACGUGCCAGCAGCCGCGGUAAGACGUAGGAUGCGAGCGUUGUCCGGAUUUAUUGGGCGUAAAGAGUUCGUAGGUGGUUUGUUAAGUUUGGUGUUAAAGAUCGGGGCUCAACCCUGGGACUGCACUGAAUACUGGCAGACUCGAGUGUGGUAGAGGCUAGUGGAAUUCCCAGUGUAGCGGUGAAAUGCGUAGAUAUUGGGAAGAACACCGGUGGCGUAGGCGACUAGCUGGGCCAUAACUGACGCUGAGGAACGAAAGCCAGGGGAGCGAAUGGGAUUAGAAACCCCUGUAGUCCCAUGA
rnacentral:rRNA from 1 species